CCCAGACUCCUACGGGAGGCAGCAGUGAGGAAUAUUGGUCAAUGGGCGGAAGCCUGAACCAGCCAAGUCGCGUGAGGGAAUAAGGCCCUACGGGUCGUAAACCUCUUUUGCCGGGGAGCAAGGGCCGGGACGCGUCCCGGCCCGGAGAGUACCCGGAGAAAAAGCAUCGGCUAACUCCGUGCCAGCAGCCGCGGUAAUACGGAGGAUGCGAGCGUUAUCCGGAUUUACUGGGUGUAAAGGGCGUGUAGCCGGGUUGACAAGUCAGAUGUGAAAUCCUGCGGCUUAACCGCAGAACUGCAUUUGAAACUGUUGAUCUUGAGUACUGGAGAGGCAGACGGAAUUCCUAGUGUAGCGGUGAAAUGCGUAGAUAUUAGGAGGAACACCAGUGGCGAAGGCGGUCUGCUGGACAGCAACUGACGGUGAGGCGCGAAAGCGUGGGGAGCAAACAGGAUUAGAUACCCCCGUAG
rnacentral:rRNA from 1 species